rnacentral:rRNA from 1 species
GACGAACGCUGGCGGCGUGCUUAACACAUGCAAGUCGAACGGAAAGGCCCUGCUUUUGUGUGGUGCUCGAGUGGCGAACGGGUGAGUAACACGUGAGUAACCUGCCCUUUACUUUGGUAUAACUUCAGGAAACUGGGGCUAAUACCGGAUAGGAGCUCCUGCUGCAUGGUGGGGGUUGGAAAGUUUCGGCGGUUGGGGAUGGACUCGCGGCUUAUCAGCUUGUUGGUGGGGUAGUGGCUUACCAAGGCUUUGACGGGUAGCCGGCCUGAGAGGGUGACCGGCCACAUUGGGACUGAGAUACGGACCAGACUCCUACGGGAGGCAGCAGUGGGGAAUAUUGCACACUGGGCGGAAGCCUGAUGCAGCAACGCCGCGUGCGGGAUGACGGCCUUCGGGUUGUAAACCGCUUUCGCCUGUGACGAAGCGUGAGUGACGGUAAUGGGUAAAGAAGCACCGGCUAACUACGUG